rnacentral:rRNA from 1 species
AGAGCGAACGCUGGCGGCAUGCUUAACACAUGCAAGUCGCACGGUCGGGGGUAACCUCGGCAGUGGCGGACGGGUGAGUAACGCGUAGGCAUCUAUCCUUGGGUGGGGGACAACCGUGGGAAACUACGGCUAAUACCGCAUGACGACUGAGGUCCAAAGCUCGCAAGAGCGCCUGGGGCGGAGCCUGCGUCCGAUUAGCUUGUUGGUGGGGUAAAGGCCUACCAAGGCGAUGAUCGGUAGC